CCUACGGGGGGCAGCAGUCGAGAAUCAUUCACAAUGGGGGAAACCCUGAUGGUGCGACGCCGCGUGGGGGAAUGAAGGUCUUCGGAUUGUAAACCCCUGUCAUGUGGGAGCAAAUUAAAAAGAUAGUACCACAAGAGGAAGAGACGUCUAACUCUGUGCCAGCAGCCGCGGUAAUACAGCGGUCUCAAGCGUUGUUCGGAAUCACUGGGCGUAAAGCGUGCGUAGGCUGUUUCGUAAGUCGUAUGUGAAAGGCGCGGGCGCAACCCGCGGACGGCACAUGAUACUGCGAGACUAGAGUAAUGGAGGGGGAAGCGGAAUUCGCGGUGUAGCAGUGAAAUGCGUAGAUAUCGAGAGGAACACUCGUGGCGAAGGCGGGUUCCUGGACAUUAACUGACGCUGAGGCACGAAGGCCAGGGGAGCGAAAGGGAUUAGAUACCCCAGUAGUC
rnacentral:rRNA from 1 species